rnacentral:rRNA from 1 species
UACGAAGGGGGCUAGCGUUGCUCGGAAUCACUGGGCGUAAAGAGCUCGUAGGCGGCUUGUCACGUCGGGUGUGAAAGCCCGGGGCUUAACCCCGGGUCUGCAUUCGAUACGGGCAGGCUAGAGUGUGGUAGGGGAGAUCGGAAUUCCUGGUGUAGCGGUGAAAUGCGCAGAUAUCAGGAGGAACACCUGUGGUGUAGACAGCUUACUGGACCAUUUCUGACGCUGAGACACGAAAGCGUGGGUAGCAAACAGG